rnacentral:rRNA from 1 species
UGAGUAAUGUCUGGGAAACUGCCUGAUGGAGGGGGAUAACUACUGGAAACGGUAGCUAAUACCGCAUAACGUCGCAAGACCAAAGAGGGGGACCUUCGGGCCUCUCGCCAUCAGAUGUGCCCAGAUGGGAUUAGCUAGUAGGUGGGGUAAUGGCUCACCUAGGCGACGAUCCCUAGCUGGUCUGAGAGGAUGACCAGCCACACUGGAACUGAGACACGGUCCAGACUCCUACGGGAGGCAGCAGUGGGGAAUAUUGCACAAUGGGCGCAAGCCUGAUGCAGCCAUGCCGCGUGUGUGAAGAAGGCCUUCGGGUUGUAAAGCACUUUCAGCGAGGAGGAAGGUGGUGAGCUUAAUACGCUCAUCAAUUGACGUUACUCGCAGAAGAAGCACCGGCUAACUCCGUGCCAGCAGCCGCGGUAAUACGGAGGGUGCAAGCGUUAAUCGGAUUUUAAUUACUGGGCGUAAAGCGGCGCGCGCGUUUGUAAGUGGAUGUGAAUCAAUGUGAAUC